UACGUAGGGGGCAAGCGUUGUCCGGAUUUAUUGGGCGUAAAGAGCGUGUAGGCGGCUGGAUAGGUCCGUUGUGAAAACUCGAGGCUCAACCUCGAGACGCCGAUGGAAACCAUCCAGCUAGAGUCCGGAAGAGGAGAGUGGAAUUCCCGGUGUAGCGGUGAAAUGCGCAGAUAUCGGGAAGAACACCCGUGGCUAAGGCGGUCUGCUGGGCCGUUGCCUGACGCUGAGGCGCGACAGCGUGGGGAGCAAACAGGG
rnacentral:rRNA from 1 species